UGGGGCGUAGCCAAGUGGUAAGGCAACGGGUUUUGGUCCCGCUAUGCGGAGGUUCGAAUCCUUCCGUCCCAG
rnacentral:tRNA from 2 species